rnacentral:rRNA from 1 species
GGGGUGCCUACGAGAGUAGGCCGCAGUGAAUAGGCUCAAGCAACUGUUUAUCAAAAACACAGGUCUCUGCUAAAGCGUAAGCUGAUGUAUAGGGGCUGCCGCCUGCCCGGUGCUGGAAGGUUAAGGGGAAUAGUUAGCGCAAGCGAAGCUAUGAACUUAAGCCCCAGUAAACGGCGGCCGUAACUAUAACGGUCCUAAGGUAGCGAAAUUCCUUGUCGGGUAAGUUCCGACCCGCACGAAUGGCGUAAUGAUUUGAGCACUGUCUCGGCAAUAAAUCCGGUGAAAUUGUAGUGCAAGUGAAGAUGCUUGCUACCCGCGGUUGGACGGAAAGACCCCGUAGAGCUUUACUGUAGCUUAGCAUUGAAUUUCGGUAUUGUCUGUACAGGAUAGGUGGGAGACUUAGAAGCGAGGGCGUCAGCUUUCGUGGAGUCGUCCUUGGGAUACCACCCUGACAGUACUGGAAUUCUAACUGGAGGCCAUGAAUCUGGUCACAGGACAUUGCUAGGUGGGCAGUUUGACUGGGGCGGUCGCCUCCUAAAAGGUAACGGAGGCGCCCAAAGGUUCCCUCAGCGCGGUCGGAAAUCGCGCGUAGAGUGCAAAGGCAGAAGGGAGCCUGACUGCGACACAUACAGGUGGAGCAGGGACGAAAGUCGGGCUUAGUGAUCCGGUGGUUCUGUAUGGAAGGGCCAUCGCUCAACGGAUAAAAGCUACCUCGGGGAUAACAGGCUGAUCUCCCCCAAGAGUCCACAUCGACGGGGAGGUUUGGCACCUCGAUGUCGGCUCGUCGCAUCCUGGGGCUGUAGUCGGUCCCAAGGGUUGGGCUGUUCGCC